GAUGAACGCUGGCGGCGUGCCUAAUACAUGCAAGUCGAGCGAACGGACGAGAAGCUUGCUUCUCUGAUGUUAGCGGCGGACGGGUGAGUAACACGUGGAUAACCUACCUAUAAGACUGGGAUAACUUCGGGAAACCGGAGCUAAUACCGGAUGAUAUUUUGAACCGCAUGGUUCAAAAGUGAAAGACGGUCUUGCUGUCACUUAUAGAUGGAUCCGCGCUGCAUUAGCUAGUUGGGAAGGUAACGGCUUACCAAGGCAACGAUGCAUAGCCGACCUGAGAGGGUGAUCGGCCACACUGGAACUGAGACACGGUCCAGACUCCUACGGGAGGCAGCAGUAGGGAAUCUUCCGCAAUGGGCGAAAGCCUGACGGAGCAACGCCGCGUGAGUGAUGAAGGUCUUCGGAUCGUAAAACUCUGUUAUUAGGGAAGAACAUAUGUGUAAGUAACUGUGCACAUCUUGACGGUACCUAAUCAGAAAGCCACGGCUAACUACGUG
rnacentral:rRNA from 1 species